UGACACCCACAUAAGAGAACAUAAUAUUCCCUCUAGUACCCGAAUGAAGCAAAUCAAUGCAUGUUGGUUGAAAACGUGCAUGUAUAAAUCUUUUUCAUUCACGAUACAAAAGAGAAAUGAAGGUGCAUGGUCAUAUUUCACCCCUCUCCAGUUAGUUUUAUAAAUGAGAACAAAAGAAUGGCCUCAGAGAGAACAAUAUAAGCUUCGUGUUUCUAGGCGAAGUGGUUGAGUCUUUCACCCUAGAUGGUGACGUUCCAAUAACCAAAAUAGUCAUUGGCUUAUGCUCUAACCUAAUUAGCAUGGGGCACAUGGAAUCCCGUGUGAAUCAGCAAGGACCACCUUGCAAGGCUAAAUACUCCUGGGUGACCGAUAGCGAAAUAGUACCAUGAGGGAAA
rfam:Picea glauca, whole genome shotgun sequence.